GUUCCAUUUCAUCCUUCAUACUGAUAAGGAUGAUUGGGCCGGUUUCUCUGAGUGGGUGAGAAUCACGCCUUGUUCUUCUUCUUGAACCUAUACCUGCCAUGGAGAAAAGAAGAAAGUGGAGCUGUAGAGAUUGCCGGUAGGAGAAGACUCUCCUGUUUCCAGCUACAAAAAGUGUGGCGGUUCCAUUUCAUCUACCCUAAUAAUAAGGUACUAUACCCAGAAAAUUGUUGCAAACGGAUCACGGAAUCUAGGCCUAACGGACGAUACACGGAAAGAUCUCUCUCUAUCAUACGUUCAGAAUUUCUCUCUCCAUUAUCAACUCCAAGACCACCACGAAUCGGAAGAUUAAACAUCAAUCGGAAGCCGGUGUCGGAAGCGGUUGUUGAAGACGAUCGUUGUUGAUUUUGGAUGACGGAUGCGAGCCGGUGGUGGUGAUUUUGUUGAAGACGAUCGUUGUUGAUUUUGGAUGAGCGGAUGCGAGCGGUUGUUGAAGACGAUCGUUGUUGAUUUUGGAUGACGGAUGCGAGCCGGCGGUGGUGGUGGUUUGAGCGGCGGCGGUUGUGGUGGUGCUGGAUCGGCAGCGGUGGUGCCGGAUGUGGCAGUGGUGGUGGUGCCGGAAGUGAAGAAGAUGAUACAGAGGUGUUUUAUUUUAUUUUCUGA